UACAGAGGGUGCGAGCGUUAAUCGGAGUUACUGGGCGUAAAGGGCGCGUAGGCGGUGAGAUGGGUGUGAUGUGAAAGCCCUGGGCUUAACCUGGGAAGUGCAUCGCAAACUGUCUGACUGGAGUAUAAGAGAGGGUGGCGGAAUUUCCGGUGUAGCGGUGAAAUGCGUAGAGAUCGGAAGGAACGUCAAUGGCGAAGGCAGCCACCUGGCUUAAUACUGACGCUGAGGCGCGAAAGCGUGGGGAGCGAACAGG
rnacentral:rRNA from 1 species